GCAACAGUAAACUAAAAUGGUAGAGUAGGAUAAUUGCCUUUGCGGUUCGAAUCCGCCUUGGUCUAUGGCAGACGUGCCGGUUCAAAUCCGGCCUGUUGCA
rnacentral:tRNA from 1 species